GUCUACGGCCAUAAUACUCUGAACAAGCCUGAUCCUUUCUGAUCUCAAAGCUAAGCAGGGUUGCGCCUGAUUAGUACUUGGAUGGGAGACCGCCUAGAAAGACCAAGUGCUAUAGGUG
ensembl:rRNA 5S_rRNA 5S ribosomal RNA